UGGGGAAUCUUCCACAAUGGGCGAAAGCCUGAUGGAGCAACGCCGCGUGAGUGAUGAAGGCCUUCGGGUUGUAAAGCUCUGUUAUUCGGGACGAAAGAGCGCAUGGCUAAUAUCCAUGCGAAGUGACGGCACCGAAAGAGAAAGCCACGGCUAACUACGUGCCAGCAGCCGCGGUAAUACGUAGGUGGCAAGCAUUGUCCGGAAUUAUUGGGCGUAAAGCGCGCGCAGGCGGCCUUUUAAGUCCAUCUUAAA
rnacentral:rRNA from 1 species